rnacentral:lncRNA from 1 species
AGGGAUAUAAAAUAAGAAGAUUUAAAUAAAUCCAUGUGCCAAAUUGUUAGUCUGGGAAUGAAUGCAAUCCCUCAGAUUAUCAAACUUUAUAAAGAUAUUAAGAAUUUAGAGUUGACACAUUGGAUGGAGUUUUUUGUUCAGCAUAAAUUUGCUUUUGGUUGAACUUAAGCUAAUUUGAAAGGUAUUCUCAUUGAAGUUUUUGAGUAUCAAAUUAUUUUAAAGGAUGAUGCUCAACCUAUUCAUCAAAGGCAGAACCAACUUAAUCCAAAAUAUUUUCUCAUGGUAAAAGAGGAAUUAGGUAAACUUUUAGAGGUGGAUUUUAUAUAACUUGUACCAUAUAUUGAAUGGAUUUCACAAAUUGUGAUGGAACAUAAGAAGAAUGGAAAAAUUUGAAUUUAUUAAGUCUUU